UACGAAGGGGGCUAGCGUUGCUCGGAAUCACUGGGCGUAAAGGGUGCGUAGGCGGGUCUUUAAGUCAGGGGUGAAUCCUGGAGCUCAACUCCAGAACUGCCUUUGAUACUGAAGAUCUUGAGUUCGGGAGAGGUGAGUGGAACUGCGAGUGUAGAGGUGAAAUUCGUAGAUAUUCGCAAGAACACCAGUGGCGAAGGCGGCUCACUGGCCCGGUACUGACGCUGAGGUGCGAAAGCGUGGGAGC
rnacentral:rRNA from 1 species